UUUAUGGAGAGUUUGAUCCUGGCUCAGGAUGAACGCUGGCGGCGUGCCUAAUACAUGCAAGUCGAGCGAACGGACGAGAAGCUUGCUUCUCUGAUGUUAGCGGCGGACGGGUGAGUAACACGUGGAUAACCUACCUAUAAGACUGGGAUAACUUCGGGAAACCGGAGCUAAUACCGGAUAAUAUUUUGAACCGCAUGGUUCAAAAGUGAAAGACGGUCUUGCUGUCACUUAUAGAUGGAUCCGCGCUGCAUUAGCUAGUUGGUAAGGUAACGGCUUACCAAGGCAACGAUGCAUAGCCGACCUGAGAGGGUGAUCGGCCACACUGGAACUGAGACACGGUCCAGACUCCUACGGGAGGCAGCAGUAGGGAAUCUUCCGCAAUGGGCGAAAGCCUGACGGAGCAACGCCGCGUGAGUGAUGAAGGUCUUCGGAUCGUAAAACUCUGUUAUUAGGGAAGAACAUAUGUGUAAGUAACUGUGCACAUCUUGACGGUACCUAAUCAGAAAGCCACGGCUAACUACGUGCCAGCAGCCGCGGUAAUACGUAGGUGGCAAGCGUUAUCCGGAAUUAUUGGGCGUAAAGCGCGCGUAGGCGGUUUUUUAAGUCUGAUGUGAAAGCCCACGGCUCAACCGUGGAGGGUCAUUGGAAACUGGAAAACUUGAGUGCAGAAGAGGAAAGUGGAAUUCCAUGUGUAGCGGUGAAAUGCGCAGAGAUAUGGAGGAACACCAGUGGCGAAGGCGACUUUCUGGUCUGUAACUGACGCUGAUGUGCGAAAGCGUGGGGAUCAAACAGGAUUAGAUACCCUGGUAGUCCACGCCGUAAACGAUGAGUGCUAAGUGUUAGGGGGUUUC
rnacentral:rRNA from 1 species